rnacentral:misc_RNA from 1 species
UACGAAGGGGGCUAGCGUUGCUCGGAAUCACUGGGCGUAAAGCGCACGUAGGCGGCUUUCUAAGUCGGGGGUGAAAUCCUGGAGCUCAACUCCAGAACUGCCUCCGAUACUGGAAGGCUCGAGUCCGGGAGAGGUGAGUGGAACUGCGAGUGUAGAGGUGAAAUUCGUAGAUAUUCGCAAGAACACCAGUGGCGAAGGCGGCUCACUGGCCCGGUACUGACGCUGAGGUGCGAAAGCGUGGGGAGCAAACAGG